AAAGAAUGGGAGAAUGAAGAUGGAAGAAAAAUGUCUUGCUGCUGCAGAAUGGCUGUGGAGUAAGGGAAUGGCAAUUUGUAAACAGCAGUGAAGAAGUUUCUAUUUUUUAUAUAGGAAAUGCUUUCUGGUGGUAGUGAUGGUGAACUGCAGGAAUGGGAUGCCAAUUUUUAAGAACCAUAGAGAGACACAUAAGUGACACUGGCUCAGCUCAGAGCAGUGAUAAAGCAGAAAUUUCCAGAGUCUUCAUCUGCCUGCUGGCUCACAGAUUAAACACAGCACCUUGCUUCAGGGGAGGCUGGCAGAUAUGGAAAUUGAUGUGCAUCUCCUGGGUGCUUUCCUGGCUCCCUGGACAGGACCGAGAGUCAUAAGGUAUUGUAUCAAAAGGUGAAGAAAACCCUGAUUUGUGACAAAGCUUCCUCUUCUUCGCUCAGUCUGUUACUUCCCAAAGAGGAAUGGACAGGUUUGCGUGCAUCUAAAGCAAGAGGGCAAAUUUAUGUGCCACUGAUCUGCACUAGAAGUGAAGCAAACAAUGACAGUAGCAGUCACCUGUAAGGCAUCUCUCUGUGGAAGUCACUCCAGCCAUGUUGUGAUCAUGGGUUGAGUACACAAGGAAAUUGUAAAAUUUCAUUGAGCUCAAGAGGGGAGAAGAAUCAAAACCAGCGCUGGAGGGCAACUGAAGCCUGGUGCAGCUUCCCCCCCUUCCCCACCACUGUAUACCUCUCAGCUCUGUUGUGUUGGCUGUGGUGAGAAAACUUCCUUGUCAUUCCAGGAGAAGUAUCUCAUCUCCAUCUUUGAGAUCUGCAGAGAGACAGACCAAUUUUCUCUCUUAAACUGCAACUCAGCAACAUGCAAAAGCAACAUAUCCAAUUUCUCAGUCUUUCUCUGGAGCAGUCACUUAGUACAGCAGCAGCAAAAAACCAGGUACCAGGUACCAAUGCCAUGGCAUCAGUGCUGAUUGUCAGAAGAACACUCUGCCUACAAACUCCUAAAGAUGAGCCUUAGCUGGCCAGAGUGCUGACUGCCCCAGACAAGGCUGCAGAGAAGCCUGUGGUCUAUUCUCCCCAUAGUUUUUUGUGAAGCCGAAGGAUGGUUACAGCUGUGGUAGCAUUUCAGGCACUUGCUUUUCUUCCUGAACUGGAUCUGAUGUAGUUUUAGCCUCUGGAGAAUGUGGCACCAAGUAUCACAGCUGAUAGCAUCCUCGGAGUGGUGAAGGAUUAAAAAUAGACUUUGUGAUCACUUGAUGUCUUUUGGUUUCCCAUGAAGGUCCUGUGACUUAAAAGAAUUUGGUUCUAUUUUCAAUUGGGUUAACACCAGAUACAUAUUUUUAAAAAUAGUAAACUGCUUUGCUGUUAUGUGACCAGAGAGAGAUGAGUUUUGAGGUUCACCUACAAGUGAAAACCAGCAAUCAGCUAUAGCUCCUGCCUGAGGUAUUGAGCUUUGCAAGUGAGCUUGAGCACAGGGAACUCAGGCCACUCUGCAAUGUGAAGAGGCAAUCGAUAAAGAUUAUGCCAUGAAACUCAACAGUUCAUCUUUCACUCAAGUACAGCCUUUCCCCUUCUUUUACAAUUACUCCUCAUGCAUAAAUAAUAUCCAUAUUCCUGCAUUUCCUUGAAAUGUAGAUAUUACUUCUGACUGUACCAUAAUUUUCUAAUUUUGAGAUGUUUCUUGCUACAGAAGAAGGGUAGAAAGCACUAUUCAGUACUAGGUCUGAAGCUGUUUAAUGUCAAUGGCAAAAAUUUCAGUUUCCAUGUGUUCAAUCCUACCACUUGCUGUCCUCUCUCACUUUUCUAAUUAGUCUCAUCCCCUCAUCCGAAGAUACAUACUUACAUCUAUUUCUACCAGACCAAAUCUUUUCCAACUUUAAUGUGCAGAUCUCUUUCUCAGCUGAUAUUCAAAAUCAGACACAAGCUCUCCUUCCAUACUUGUGUUUGACUUGACUGUGGGAGCAGGUCUGGGCUAUGCCUUCAUCAUCUUUCCCUUUGUAUAGAUGACAAGAAAGAGAAUACAGAAUGAAGCAGGGCAGCUGCAAUGGCCUCUGCUCAGCCAGAACAAUACUAAUGCACUGGGUUUUGUCAUUUCUCCAGGGGAGCAUAAGCCUUUUUUCAUGUGCCACUGGACCUUUAUCUCAGCAGGAAGUGAGCAUUUCCCUCAGUGUGCAAGAGGCUGACUAUAAGGGCUUUCAUACUCUUUAAAAAAGAAGUUGCUCUGUAGAGAUGUGGCAAGUUCUGCAAACAGCUGGAAAAAAUAACAUUAUCUCUUGCAAACUCUUCUUUGCAGAAUCCUAAAACCCCCAAAGGGCCCCAUAGCUGUGCACUUUACAGCAUCAACUGCUGACUGGCUCCCAGCUCAGCCUUAACACAAGUGAGGCCUCUACAGCCUCACCAAGCUAGGCAGCUUUGCCUUCCAUCAGGGCUCUGAGCAAAGUUGUGCUGCCACUGACAUGCUGGGAAAACCCUGGAAGCCUGGGAACCUGGGCAGUGCUUGAUCCUCCACUGCUGGUGUCCCAGGAACAUGGGUUCCCAGUCGCAGCCUCAUCAGCUGCAGGAGGGUCUGCUCUGCUCAUCACAGUGUGGUUGAUUCCCACCAGCCUUUGGGGAGCCCCUGGCAGGCAGCUGGCUACCCUCUUCCCCUGGCCAAACCCUGUGCUAGUCAACAGCCAUCCUGCUACUUAAUAUUUCAAAUAUGCAUGAAUAAUCCACUGAAUUUCAGUAUCCCCUUAUUUUCUCAGAUUCUUUGUGGUCAC